rnacentral:rRNA from 1 species
AGAGUUUGAUCAUGGCUCAGAUUGAACGCUGGCGGAAUGCUUUACACAUGCAAGUCGAACGGCAGCACGGGGGCAACCCUGGUGGCGAGUGGCGAACGGGUGAGUAAUACAUCGGAACGUGCCCAGUCGUGGGGGAUAACUACGCGAAAGCGUAGCUAAUACCGCAUACGAUCUACGGAUGAAAGCGGGGGAUCGCAAGACCUCGCGCGAUUGGAGCGGCCGAUGGCAGAUUAGGUAGUUGGUGAGGUAAAGGCUCACCAAGCCUGCGAUCUGUAGCUGGUCUGAGAGGACGACCAGCCACACUGGAACUGAGACACGGUCCAGACUCCUACGGGAGGCAGCAGUGGGGAAUUUUGGACAAUGGGCGCAAGCCUGAUCCAGCCAUUCCGCGUGAGUGAAGAAGGCCUUCGGGUUGUAAAGCUCUUUCGGCAGGGAAGAAACGGUUCAGGUUAAUACCCUGGGCUAAUGACGGUACCUGAAGAAGAAGCACCGGCUAACUACGUGCCAGCAGCCGCGGUAAUACGUAGGGUGCGAGCGUUAAUCGGAAUUACUGGGCGUAAAGCGUGCGCAGGCGGUUUUGUAAGACAGAUGUGAAAUCCCCGGGCUUAACCUGGGAACUGCGUUUGUGACUGCAAGACUCGAGUACGGCAGAGGGGGGGUGGAAUUCCACGUGUAGCAGUGAAAUGCGUAGAGAUGUGGAGGAACACCGAUGGCGAAGGCAGCCCCCUGGGUCGAUACUGACGCUCAUGCACGAAAGCGUGGGGAGCAAACAGGAUUAGAUACCCUGGUAGUCCACGCCCUAAACGAUGCCAACUAGGUGUUGGGGGAAGGAGACUUCCUUAGUACCGUAGCUAACGCGUGAAGUUGGCCGCCUGGGGAGUACGGUCGCAAGAUUAAAACUCAAAGGAAUUGACGGGGACCCGCACAAGCGGUGGAUGAUGUGGAUUAAUUCGAUGCAACGCGAAAAACCUUACCUGCCCUUGACAUGCCAGGAACUUGCCAGAGAUGGCUUGGUGCCCGAAAGGGAGCCUGGACACAGGUGCUGCAUGGCCGUCGUCAGCUCGUGUCGUGAGAUGUUUGGUUAAGUCCAUCAACGAGCGCAACCCUUAUAGUUAGUUGUAUUUUUCUAGCUAGACUGCCCUGGUAACAGGGAGGAAGGGGGGGAUGAUGUCAGGUCAGUAUUUCCCUUACGUCUGGGGCUACAAACACGCUACAAUGGCCAGUACAAAGGGCAGCCAAGUCGCGAGACGGAGCAAACCCCAUCAAAGCUGGUCUCAGUUCGGAUAGCAGGCUGAAACUCGCCUGCUUGAAGCCGGAAUCGCUAGUAACGGUGAGUCAGCACAUCACCGUGAAUACGUUCCCGGGUCUUGUACACACCGCCCGUCAAACCAUGAAGGUCGCCAAUACCUGACGUGUUAGCUUUGCCUAGCCCUAAGGUAGGGGAGAUGAUUGGGGUUAAGUCGUAACAAGGUAACCGU